rnacentral:rRNA from 1 species
AACUGCAUUCCCUAGUACGGCGAGUGACCGGGAAAAGCUCAAAUUUGAAAUCUGGCUGUCUUCGAUAGUCCGAGUUGUAAUCUAUAGAAGCGUUUUCCGUGCUGAACUGUGUCUAAGUCCCUUGGAACAGGGUAUCAAAGAGGGUGAUAAUCCCGUACUUGACACAAUCAUCAGUGCUCUGUGAUACGUUCUCUACGAGUCGAGUUGUUUGGGAAUGCAGCUCAAAAUGGGUGGUAAAUUCCAUCUAAAGCUAAAUAUUGGCGAGAGACCGAUAGCGAACAAGUACCGUGAGGGAAAGAUGAAAAGCACUUUGGAAAGAGAGUUAAACAGUACGUGAAAUUGUUGAAAGGGAAACGAUUGAAGUCAGUCGUGUUCAUUGGAUUCAGCUAGUUCUUCUAGUCUACUUCCUUUGAACGGGUCAACAUCAGUUUUGUCCGGUGGAUAAAGGAUUUAGGAAUGUGACUCCCUCGGGAGUGUUAUAGCCUAGGUUCACAUACACUGGGUGAGACUGAGGACUGCAGCUCGCCUUUUGGCCGGGGUUCGCCCACGUUCGAGCUUAGGAUGUUGACAUAAUGGCUUUAAACGACCCGUCUUGACCAACGGACCCAA